CUCUCUUUCCACUGCUGUUGUUGAAUCUGUGACCGUAUUUGGUACAUCACCCUACUUCUUUGAUGUCUGUUACAAUAAUAUAGUGCAUGUUUGGAAAUUAGGUGUAAAAGUACUUUUGAGGCAAAAGUACUUUUGCAAAAGCAUAAGGACUCUUGCUUUUGGUUUCAUUUUAUUGUUAUCCAUUGUAUUGCUUUGGAAUGCGCAUCACAGUAAUUUCAACUGCAAAUCAAACAUGCACAUAGUCAUCCAAUUAGUAGACUCCAUAUAAAACAAAGUCAGAAAAAGUAGUAUAUUGAGUUACCUUUUCUCCAGCUAUUGCAUUAGCAACAUUUUUGUCCUAUUUAAAUUCUAUCAAAACACCAAAAAAACACUUAGUUUUUGACAAUGCACCAAGGAAACAUUCGUGUCACAUUCAAAAUUUCACCACACAUAUCUAUCAGAUCAUCAUCAAUUCAAAUACAACAAUUUACAGUUAACAAUCUGACGAAACGAGCAAAUUCAAGUCAAAAAUAAAAUAACAAGAAAAAAUCAAGGAGAAAAC
rnacentral:lncRNA from 1 species